UACGAAGGGGGCUAGCGUUGCUCGGAAUCACUGGGCGUAAAGCGCACGUAGGCGGAUUGCUAAGUCAGGGGUGAAAUCCUGGAGCUCAACUCCAGAACUGCCUUUGAUACUGGCGAUCUCGAGUCCGGGAGAGGUGAGUGGAACUGCGAGUGUAGAGGUGAAAUGCGUAGAGAUCGGGAGGAACACCAGUGGCGAAGGCGGCUACCUGGACCAGCACUGACACUGAGGCACGAAAGCGUGGGGAGCAAACAGG
rnacentral:rRNA from 1 species